ensembl:lncRNA
GUUGUGGUUAUGGUUAAGGUUAUGGUUAAGGUUAUGGUUAAGGUUAUGGUUAAGGUUAGGGUUAAGGUUAUGCUUAAGGUUAUGGUUAAGGUUAGGGUUAUGGUUAGGAUUAGGGUUAUAGUUAUGGUUAUGGUUAGGGUUAAGGUAAUGGUUAUGUUUAAGUUUAGGGUUAAGGUUAGGGUUAGGGUUAUGGUUAUGAUUGGGUUUAUAGUUAUGGUUAGGUUUAAGGUUAAGGUUAUGGUUAUGGUUAUGUUUAAGGUUAGGGUUAAGGUAAGGGUUAGGUUUAGGGUCAGGUGGCCAUUGCCACACACUGCCAGAAAUGGCACCGACCUCUUCUAGGAGAGCACACGGCAGCUUUGGCUCUUUGUGAUGGAAAUGCGGCCCCGCGGGAGCAAAAGGCUGAAGUGCUCCCGGUGCUGCUCCAACCUCUGCCGGGGAUUCAGAGCACCUCAUUGAC